CUCCAGAAUAGCUCUUGGAAACGGGUGGUAAUGCUGGAUGCUCCAACUUGACGCAUGUCUUGUUGGGAAAGUGUUUAGUGGCAUGGGAUGGGGUCGCGUCCUAUCAGCUUGUAGGCGGGGUAAUGGCCCACCUAGGCUUCGACGGGUAGCCGGCCUGAGAGGGCGGACGGCCACAUUGGGACUGAGAUACGGCCCAGACUCCUACGGGAGGCAGCAGCG
rnacentral:rRNA from 1 species